UUCUCUGCACGAAUACCGAGAGAAAACGAACGGGUGUUCUUCGUGUUCUUCAUAAUCAAACGAGGAUUUGAAAGCGUUAUUGGAAUCCGAUGGAGGCGUAUAAAUAGUCAAAACGAAGCUCUCGACGCGUAGAAUCUAGUACAAUCAUCCGUUUAUGUGCAGAUUUGUCAGGAUUUGGACGAGGCGUAUACGAUUGAAGACGUACAGAAGGUCAAAUGAUGUUGCAAAGCGAAUAAGGAACGAGUCGAGAAAGCGAAGUCGUAUUACGAAUAGAGUAUAUACAGAGAUGGUCUGGAGGUUAUGAUAUGCAUAGAUUGUGAAUUGGAAAGAUGAGAUUAAGCUAUGUGUGUGGAGGCGGAUUUAAGGCAAGUUUUCCUAAGUCCUUCCUCAUAUAUAUAUUGCAUGCUCUGAUUAUUCUGUCAAGAUUAUGAUAUUGUUUAUACUGAAACCCUUCUCAAAUAAACUCUUACUUCUGAGAAUGAAACCCAUGCUUGUUUUCUUCUUCCAAAUUUUGAAAAGCCAAACACCUAAUUACUCUCAAAUUCUAUUACAAGUAUUUUGAUCCAUUCCUUCCAACCCUCAAGAUUUUGAAAAUGUCAGCUUUACAAAUUAAUUCGAAGUUCAGAUUGUCAUUGAAGCAUGUGUUGCUCAGUGAUAGUUAGAACUUAGAAUGAAUUGAGAUCUUCUUGAUUAUUCAACCCACCAUUAUCAGGCUAGUUAACUUAGCCGAUGAUGGAGGAUACUGAAUAGUUAAGGACUUCUUGAAUUUUGAUUUAUAUAAGGAUGAUUCUUAAAAGUUGGUUUGGAAUAUUUCUGUUGUUGAUAAUGAUUAUCAUUUUGUUCUAUUGAUUGAUCUGUCUAUUGAUUUAAAUUGUUAGAAUUGGAUUAGUUUUUAUAAAAUAUGUGGACCAGACUCGUGGUCAAGACCAGAUUCGUGGUCAAUUAUAGGCCAAUGUGUGCCUUGGAUCCAGUAUAGAGAACAGGGCUGUGUGCCAUGUUCGGGGUUAGUGCGUGACUGAUCAGCAGCCUAACCUUUGGUUUUUAAGUAAAAAUGUGAUGAAUCCAAUUCGACAAUUCUUCUAAAAGCUUAAAGAUGAAUUGCAUGAUUGAGAUUGCGAGUAUGGCUAAGGCUAGGCGAGGAGUCAGAGUAUAGAGUAUACAGAGGACAAGUGGAAAUGUUCAGGGAGAUUGUCAAGGUUGGUUCUAGAUAGAAUUGUUGAGAUUCAGUUGUAAUCAUAAUUUAAAUAGAUUGGCAGUGAUUCUUCUCAUCGAAGAUGAUCUGAGGUUGUAAGACAUUUUUUUAUUUAUAGUGGUUGAUUCUAAUUUCAAUACUGUGACCUGGAUGCGAUCCUGUUUUUAGGGGGUUAAAGUGUUUUCUUUUAAAUCUUUUAUUAAAGUC